GCUCGGUUGGUUAAGCGUCCGACUCUUGAUUUGGGCUCAGGUCGUGAUCUCACAGUUUGUGGGUUCAAGCCCCACAUCGGGCU
rnacentral:tRNA from 1 species